rnacentral:rRNA from 1 species
CCUACGGGAGGCAGCAGUAGGGAAUAUUGCUCAAUGGGGGAAACCCUGAAGCAGCAACGCCGCGUGGAGGAUGAAGGUUUUCGGAUUGUAAACUCCUUUUGUUAGAGAAGAUAAUGACGGUAUCUAACGAAUAAGCACCGGCUAACUCCGUGCCAGCAGCCGCGGUAAUACGGAGGGUGCAAGCGUUACUCGGAAUCACUGGGCGGAAAGAGCGCGUAGGCGGGAUAGCAAGUCAGAUGUGAAAUCCUAUGGCUUAACCAUAGAACUGCCUUUGAAACUGUUAUUCUAGAGUAUGGGAGAGGUAGGUGGAAUUCUUGGUGUAGGGGUAAAAUCCGUAGAGAUCAAGAGGAAUACUCAUUGCGAAGGCGACCUGCUAGAACAUAACUGACGCUGAAGCGCGAAAGCGUGGGGAGCAAACAGGAUUAGAUACCCCAGUAGUC